GUACCAUGCAGUCGGACGGUAGCACAGAGAAGCUUGUUCCUCGGGUGACGAGUGGCGCACGGGUGAGUAGUGUGGGGAGAUCUGCCAGAUAGAGGGGUAUAACCAGUGGAAACGGUGGCUAAUACCGUAUAGCCUCAAGAGACCAAAGAGGGGGACCUUCGGGCCUCUCUCUAUCAGAUGAACCCAUAUGGUAUUAUCUAGUGCGGGGGGUAGCGGCCCCCCUGCGACACUAUCCCUAUGUGGUCUGAGAGGAUGACCAGCCACUGUGGAUCUGACACACGGUCCACACUCCUACGGGGGGCAGCUGUGGAAAAUAUUGCACAGUGGGCGCGCGCGUGAUGCACCCGUGCCGCGUGUAUGAAAAGGGUCUUCGGUUUGUAGAGUAUUUUCCGCGGAGAAGAGGGCUGUGGGGUUAAUACCCUUAGUGAUUGAUUUUCCCCGGAAAAGAAGCCCCGGAUAUCUCCGUGCCCGCACCCGCGGUAAUGCAGAGGGUGCACGCGUUAAUCAGAUUUAGUGGGUGUAAAGCACACGGGGGCGCUGUGAUAACUCAUAUGUGAACUCCCCGGUCUUACUGUGGACUCUGCAUUAGAAUCUGGCGCGUUUGACUCUCGUAGAGGGGGUAUAGUAUUACGUGUGUAGCGGAGAUGUGCAUAGAUAUCUAGAAGUACAGGUGUGGAGAACGCCGCCCUGUGCAAGACACUGACUCUCGUGUGAAAAGCGUGGGGCGCACACGAGAAUAUAUACUGUGAUACUACACGCCAUACACUAUGUCGAUGUGGAUGGUGUUCUUGAGAAGAGUGUCCCCGGCUCACACGCGAAACUCCACCGCGUGGAGUGUACGGCGCGGUAUAACUCUCAUGUGUUUCACGGGCCGCGCACGCGCUGUGCGCGUGUGUAUAUCUCUAUGCACGCGAAACCAUAUCUACUCGAGAUCUACACAAACUCGGCAGAUAUGCUUAGUGCUCUCGGAACGUGACACGUG
rnacentral:rRNA from 1 species